rfam:Bathyarchaeota archaeon BA1 ba1_04, whole genome shotgun sequence.
GUCAACUACCCACUCCCGAAGGAGGUGGGCUUGAGAUGGUGGCAUCGACGCAAGGGUUGACUAGCCUAAGCCCGUUCAGGGCUACGUCUGCUGAGCUACAAGAACGGUUGGAUGCCUCCCUAGUCCAACCCUCUUCGGAAGAACCACUCAAUUCCACGCCUUUAAAGGCUAAGCUCGGCAGACAUUGGCGAAGGGAAAUUCAC